UGUAUACUGUAGAUAGUGGUGUUGUAGUGUGGUAUACUGUAGAUAGUGGUGUUGUAGUGUUGUAUACUGUAGAUAGUGGUGUUGUAGUGUGGUAUACUGUAGAUAGUGGUGUUGUAUACUGUAGAUAGUGGUGUUGUAGUGUUGUAUACUGUAGAUAGUGGUGUUGUAUACUGUAGAUAGUGGUGUUGUAGUGUUGUAUACUGUAGAUAGUGGUGUUGUAGUGUGGUAUACUGUAGAUAGAGGUGUUGUAGUGUUGUAUACUGUAGAUAGUGGUGUUGUAGUGUGGUAUACUGUAGAUAGUGGUGUUGUAUACUGUAGAUAGUGGUGUUGUAGUGUGGUAUACUGUAGAUAGUGGUGUUGUAGUGUUGUAUACUGUAGAUAGUGGUGUUGUAUACUGUAGAUAGUGGUGUUGUAGUGUUGUAUACUGUAGAUAGUGGUGUUGUAUACUGUAGAUAGUGGUGUUGUAGUGUUGUAUACUGUAGAUAGUGGUGUUGUAUACUGUAGAUAGUGG
ensembl:lncRNA